rnacentral:tRNA from 1 species
GCCCGGCUAGCUCAGUCCGUAGAGCAUGAGACUCUUAAUCACAGAGUCAUGGGUUUGAGCCCCAUGGCA